rnacentral:rRNA from 1 species
CCUACGGGUGGCUGCAGUCGAGGAUCUUCGGCAAUGGGCGCAAGCCUGACCGAGCGACGCCGCGUGGGCGACGAAGGCCUUCGGGUUGUAAAGCCCUGUCGAGAGGGAGAAAACCCCGCAAGGGGCUGAUCUAUCUCUGGAGGAAGCUCGGGCUAAGUUCGUGCCAGCAGCCGCGGUAAGACGAACCGAGCGAACGUUGUUCGGAAUCACUGGGCUUAAAGGGCGCGUAGGCGGGCGGGCGCGUCCGGGGUGAAAUCCGUCAGCUCAACUGGCGG